ACGAACGCUGGCGGCGUGCUUAACCCAUGCAAGUCGAACGCUGAAGCUCAGCUUUUGUUGGGUGGAUGAGUGGCGAACGGGUGAGUAACACGUGAGUAACCUGCCCCCUUCUUUGGGAUAACGCCCGGAAACGGGUGCUAAUACUGGAUAUUCACUGGUCUUCGCAUGGGGGUUGGUGGAAAGGGUUUUUCUGGUGGGGGAUGGGCUCGCGGCCUAUCAGCUUGUUGGUGGGGUGAUGGCCUACCAAGGCUUUGACGGGUAGCCGGCCUGAGAGGGUGACCGGUCACAUUGGGACUGAGAUACGGCCCAGACUCCGACGGGAGGCAGCAGUGGGGAAUAUUGCACAAUGGGCGCAAGCCUGAUGCAGCGACGCCGCGUGAGGGAUGGAGGCCUUCGGGUUGUGAACCUCUUUCGCUCAUGGUCAAGCCGCAACAAUGGUUGUGGUGAGGGUAGUGGGUAAAGAAGCGCCGGCUAACUACGUG
rnacentral:rRNA from 1 species